UACGUAGGGGGCGAGCGUUGUCCGGAGUUACUGGGCGUAAAGGGCGUGUAGGUGGUUUUGUAAGUCCGGCGUGAAAUUUUUCGGCUUAACCGGGAAAGGUCGUCGGAUACUGCAAGGCUAGAGGACGGUAGAGGCGUGUGGAAUUCCGGGUGUAGUGGUGAAAUGCGUAGAGAUCCGGAGGAACACCAGUGGCGAAGGCGACACGCUGGGCCGUACCUGACACUGAUGCGCGACAGCAUGGGGAGCAAACAGG
rnacentral:rRNA from 1 species